CCUACGGGAGGCAGCAGUGAGGAAUAUUGGUCAAUGGACGAGAGUCUGAACCAGCCAAGUAGCGUGAAGGAUGACUGCCCUAUGGGUUGUAAACUUCUUUUAUAAAGGAAUAAAACGAGGCACGUGUGCCUUUUUGCAUGUACUUUAUGAAUAAGGAUCGGCUAACUCCGUGCCAGCAGCCGCGGUAAUCCGGAGGAUCCGAGCGUUAUCCGGAUUUAUUGGGUUUAAAGGGAGCGUAGAUGGGUUUUUAAGUCAGUUGUGAAAGUUUGCGGCUCAACCGUAAAAUUGCAAUUGAUACUGGCAGUCUUGAGUACAGUUGAGGUAGGCGGAAUUCGUGGUGUAGCAGUGAAAUGCUUAGAUAUCACGAAGAACCCCGAUUGCGAAGGCAGCUUACUAAACUGUGACUGACAUUGAUGCUCGAAAGUGUGGGUAUCAAACAGGAUUAGAUACCCGGGUAGUC
rnacentral:rRNA from 1 species